GAUGAAGAACGCAGCGAAAUGCGAUAAGUAAUGUGAAUUGCAGAAUUCAGUGAAUCAACGAAUCUUUGAACGCACAUUGCGCCCGCCAGUAUUCUGGCGGGCAUGCCUGUUCGAGCGUCAUUUCAACCAUCAAGCCCCAGGCUUGUGUUGGGGACCUGCGGCUGCCGCAGGCCCUGAAAACCAGUGGCGGGCUCGCUGUCACACCGGGCGUAGUAGAUUUUAUCUCGCUCAGGGCGUGCUGCGGGUUCCGGCCGUUAAAAAGCCUUUUUUACCCAAGGUUGACCUCGGAUCAGGUAGGAAGACCCGCUGAACUUAAGCAUAUCAAUAAGCGGAGGA
rnacentral:misc_RNA from 1 species